CGGCGGCCAAGGCGACGGCGGCUCCUCUUUGGCCUCCGGCUCUACCCAGCGACAGCCCCCACCGCCCCCGCCACAGCACCCGCAGCCGGGGUCCCAGGCGCUCCCAGCCCCGGCGCUGGCUCCGGACCAGCUGCCUCAAAACAACACGCUUGUGGCGCUGCCCAUCGUAGCCAUCGAGAACAUCCUCAGCUUUAUGUCCUACGACGAAAUUAGCCAGCUCCGCCUGGUUUGUAAAAGAAUGGACUUGGUCUGCCAGAGAAUGUUGAAUCAGGGAUUUCUGAAAGUGGAGAGGUACCAUAAUCUAUGUCAGAAACAAGUUAAAGCACAACUCCCAAGGAGAGAGUCAGAAAGGAGAAACCAUUCAUUAGCUCGUCAUGCAGACAUUCUUGCUGCUGUUGAAACAAGGCUGUCACUAUUAAAUAUGACUUUCAUGAAAUAUGUGGAUUCCAAUCUCUGUUGCUUCAUCCCAGGAAAGGUAAAAUAGAAUUGCUUGCCUAGAACAGCUGGACUGCCCUACAUAAACUUAAAGUUAUGAAUUUUUGAUUUUAGAAAUGUUAGAAUUGUUUCUACUUCUCCAAAUGAGUCUCUACUAAUGAAUUUGUUUGGUUUCUGUACAGUUAUCAAUAUAAAUAU
rnacentral:sRNA from 1 species